AAGAAAGAGAAUAAGGAUGAUGCUCUCUGACGGAUUUAUUUGUAUACAAGUCCCAGUGGAUCUAAGUAUUAAAUAGCUUCAGGUUUUUUAAGUGGUCACGUCUGUACAGAAGACUGGGUACACACUGCUAAAGCUGGAUAUUUUUUUUAGUAGAUAAAGUGGAUUUUAGUCUUAAAAUGGAUUUUAUUUUUUUUAGUAGAAGCUUGUAAAUGGCUGACCUUGAUUUUCUGAGAAGCAUAACAUACUGGGGAGGGGGCGACAGCAAAUGCCGUCUGAGUAGAAAUAAUAUUUAAAAAGAAAUCUUGAAGCUGUUGUUGAGAAUAGCCAGAUACCGAUUGCCCCGACCUAUUUCUUUCUCAGUGCAGAAGUGUUUGAACAGACAACGUGAAGACAAUGUUAGACCUGCCUGCCUGGCCUGGGAGCAAGUGGUAGAAGUCAGCAUACCGGAGCCGUGGCCGUCAGUGCCCUGCCAAAAAGCCGUUCUCUGCCAAUCCUCUGCUGUAAGCUGGGGCUGCCUGCUAAAUGUCAAGAAGAAUGGAGUGGUCGGAAAGAGAUGCAGGUAUACCCAGAGGAAACUGGAACCAACAGCAGAGAGAUUUUUGCCUUCUUGGUGCAGAAAAGCAGUCUGAUUUGGCAUGGAGAGAAAUGGGAAAAAUGAAAAGACUUCCCGAAAUAUCAACAAAGCAGUAGUAUGCUGUGAGCAAGAAGCUAUUUAAGGGCUUUGUACCCAGAAGGGAAAGUUUUUAAAUGUUUGGUGACUCCCAAACAGAAUGGAAUUGUAAGUUUGUAAGUGGAUGAGAAUCUGUGGAAUCAAGUCAAAAAGUUGUUCAACCCUUUAAGAGCUGGGGAGCGAGCAGUGUGGAAGAUGGAGCAUGCAGGAGCUGAGUGAACAGCCCAGCUUUGGAAAGGAAGACUUCUGUGGGCCCAGCAGCCGGGAAAAUGAAGGUGGCUUUUGUGGUCAUCUUAACAGAACUAGUAAAAACCCUGCAGUACAUUGAUGGAUGGAGAACAGUUGGAAAGGAAGGGAUGGUAAUAAAAGGUUCAGGCAAAAAAAAGUCUGAGCUCCAAAUAUUGCUCAUUUUC
rnacentral:lncRNA from 1 species